rnacentral:hammerhead_ribozyme from 1 species
AUCCAGAUGACAUGUCCCAAAUAGGGCGAAACUCACGUCCUGGAU